UACGGAGGGUGCAAGCGUUAUCCGGAUUCACUGGGUUUAAAGGGUGCGUAGGAGGGUAGGUAAGUCAGUGGUGAAAUCUUCGAGCUUAACUCGGAAACUGCCGUUGAUACUAUCUAUCUUGAAUACCGUGGAGGUGAGCGGAAUAUGUCAUGUAGCGGUGAAAUGCUUAGAUAUGACAUAGAACACCAGUUGCGAAGGCAGCUCGCUACACGAAUAUUGACUCUGAGGCACGAAAGCGUGGGGAUCAAACAGG
rnacentral:rRNA from 1 species